GCCCGAUUCUUAUAAUCCACACACUAUCCCCAGCAAGAACUAAUAAAAAGAACCACCAACACACCAGACUAGGCAUAAAAAAUAAAACAUACGUCUUCAUACUGGAAGCACGUCAAAUCACCUAGCCUAGCAAACUAAUUCCUUGGGGGGCGCACGGUAGUCAUCCUUUUGAAGGAAAAAGACCAACAAAGUUGGGGGUCUGGCUGAGAAGAUUAUGAUGGUGGUGAGAAAAGAAAAGGUGAAGAAGGCCAUAGAGAAAUGGAGAAGAAAGCCAAGGGAGGAGAGAGAGCCAGAGAGUUAGCAGAGAUGACAAUAUUGAAAGAAGAAUCAGCCACUACAUGUAUAACACAUUACCUCCAUUGAAG
rnacentral:lncRNA from 1 species